rnacentral:rRNA from 1 species
UACGUAGGGCGCAAGCGUUAUCCGGAAUUACUGGGCGUAAAGCGUGCGCAGGCGGUUCGUUAAGUUCGUUGUGAAAGCCCCGGGCUCAACCUGGGAACUGCAAUGGAAACUGGCGGGCUUGAAUGCGGCAGAGGGGGGUGGAAUUCCGCGUGUAGCAGUGAAAUGCGUAGAGAUGCGGAGGAACACCGAUGGCGAAGGCAGCCCCCUGGGCCGACAUUGACGCUCAGGCACGAAAGCGUGGGGAGCAAACAGG